UCCUCGGUAGUAUAGUAUACCCGCCUGUCACGCGGGAGACCGGGGUUCGAUUCCCAGCCGGGGAG